rnacentral:rRNA from 1 species
UUUUAUGAGAGUUUGAUCCUGGCUCAGGACGAACGCUGGCGGCGUGCCUAAUACAUGCAAGUCGAACGCUUCUUUUUCCACCGGAGCUUGCUCCACCGGAAAAAGAGGAGUGGCGAACGGGUGAGUAACACGUGGGUAACCUGCCCAUCAGAAGGGGAUAACACUUGGAAACAGGUGCUAAUACCGUAUAACAAUCGAAACCGCAUGGUUUUGAUUUGAAAGGCGCUUUCGGGUGUCGCUGAUGGAUGGACCCGCGGUGCAUUAGCUAGUUGGUGAGGUAACGGCUCACCAAGGCCACGAUGCAUAGCCGACCUGAGAGGGUGAUCGGCCACAUUGGGACUGAGACACGGCCCAAACUCCUACGGGAGGCAGCAGUAGGGAAUCUUCGGCAAUGGACGAAAGUCUGACCGAGCAACGCCGCGUGAGUGAAGAAGGUUUUCGGAUCGUAAAACUCUGUUGUUAGAGAAGAACAAGGAUGAGAGUAACUGUUCAUCCCUUGACGGUAUCUAACCAGAAAGCCACGGCUAACUACGUGCCAGCAGCCGCGGUAAUACGUAGGUGGCAAGCGUUGUCCGGAUUUAUUGGGCGUAAAGCGAGCGCAAGCGGUUUCUUAAGUCUGAUGUGAAAGCCCCCGGCUCAACCGGGGAGGGUCAUUGGAAACUGGGAGACUUGAGUGCAGAAGAGGAGAGUGGAAUUCCAUGUGUAGCGGUGAAAUGCGUAGAUAUAUGGAGGAACACCAGUGGCGAAGGCGGCUCUCUGGUCUGUAACUGACGCUGAGGCUCGAAAGCGUGGGGAGCAAACAGGAUUAGAUACCCUGGUAGUCCACGCCGUAAACGAUGAGUGCUAAGUGUUGGAGGGUUUCCGCCCUUCAGUGCUGCAGCUAACGCAUUAAGCACUCCGCCUGGGGAGUACGACCGCAAGGUUGAAACUCAAAGGAAUUGACGGGGGCCCGCACAAGCGGUGGAGCAUGUGGUUUAAUUCGAAGCAACGCGAAGAACCUUACCAGGUCUUGACAUCCUUUGACCACUCUAGAGAUAGAGCUUCCCCUUCGGGGGCAAAGUGACAGGUGGUGCAUGGUUGUCGUCAGCUCGUGUCGUGAGAUGUUGGGUUAAGUCCCGCAACGAGCGCAACCCUUAUUGUUAGUUGCCAUCAUUCAGUUGGGCACUCUAGCAAGACUGCCGGUGACAAACCGGAGGAAGGUGGGGAUGACGUCAAAUCAUCAUGCCCCUUAUGACCUGGGCUACACACGUGCUACAAUGGGAAGUACAACGAGUCGCGAAGUCGCGAGGCUAAGCUAAUCUCUUAAAGCUUCUCUCAGUUCGGAUUGCAGGCUGCAACUCGCCUGCAUGAAGCCGGAAUCGCUAGUAAUCGCGGAUCAGCACGCCGCGGUGAAUACGUUCCCGGGCCUUGUACACACCGCCCGUCACACCACGAGAGUUUGUAACACCCGAAGUCGGUGAGGUAACCUUUUGGAGCCAGCCGCCUAAGGUGGGAUAGAUGAUUGGGGUGAAGUCGUAACAAGGUAGCCGUAUCGGAAGGUGCGGCUGGAUCACCUCCUUU